UACGUAGGGGGCAAGCGUUGUCCGGAAUUAUUGGGCGUAAAGAGCUCGUAGGCGGUUCGUCGCGUCGGCUGUGAAAACCCGGAGCUCAACUCCGGGCCUGCAGUCGAUACGGGCGGACUGGAGUGUUGCAGGGGAGACUGGAAUUCCUGGUGUAGCGGUGAAAUGCGCAGAUAUCAGGAGGAACACCGGUGGCGAAGGCGGGUCUCUGGGCCGAUACUGACGCUGAGGAGCGAAAGCGUGGGGAGCGAACAGG
rnacentral:rRNA from 1 species